CCUCAACUCACCGGCCAGAAAGAGCCAAAUAUCAAGCCUCUACACAUCCCUAACCACACAUCACACUCAAAUAGCACUCCCAUACAUCGCAGCAUGGGAGAGUGACUUGGGACCCCCUGAGGACACCACUCACUGGGCAGACAUCUGGACUGCCAUCAAAUCCAUCUCCACCUGUGUAACCCAUAAGGAACAGGCCUACAAAAUGCUUUUCAGAUGGUACCUCACCCCCUUCCGCCUAAAGGCAAUGCAACAACUUCCCACCAACUUAUGUUGGAAACUGUGCGGCGAGGCAGGCACGUUUCUCCACUGCUGGUGGACCUGCCCUAAAGUCGCCCCCAUAUGGACAACGCUAACCACACUCUUAACCAGAUUACUUAACAAACCAGUACCUUUAGACCCUUGGGCCUUUCUCCUCUCCAAACCCAUCGACAUCUUCACUCGUAACGAAAACAAACUCAUUGCCAGAGUAGCCCUGGCCACACGAAGGGCAAUAGCGGAAACAUGGUCCACACCACGCAUCCCAACCCAACUGCAGAUACACACUAAAAUAACUGACAGCGUAAACAUGGAUAAGCUGACUGCACAAAUACAUGACACCCCCAACUCAUUCCACAAAGUGUGGGACCCAUGGCUGGAGGGGAACAACACCCUCCCAUGGUGACCCGCGGCACUCACACCGACCGACACCACCCAAGCACAACUACAACAUGAUGCAAAUCUGAGGCUCGCCCCCACCUAGCGCCCUUAACCUACCCCACCCCACCAAGGGCGUUGGGGGGUACCCAGGAGGGCAGCACCAUCCUGCC